CAAUGUGUAGCCAUGAUGCAAUGGUGGUGUAAAUGUUAUGGGGAUAACCAGUCACUCUCUAGCUGCCUCUAAGGCCUGAUAUCUAGGAAGGAAUGUGUUUGUACUGUAAAUCGGGCCAAGAACCCCUGGCUGGGGAGAUAAUAGGACCCAGGGGAUUACUGCAGCUCUCAGAACUCAUCAGAGAAGAUUCUUUGUGCAGUGGACAACACCUAAGGCAGACUCAACUAAAGUACAAUAAGUGUCACUGGAACUCUCAACCGGAAAUGGGACAUCUACAUCACGCCCCCUCCCCUUGAGGCUCACAGACCUUCGUAGAAGAGGGCAUGGAAAGACUGUAAGAGAUAGAGUUUGAGGGCUGGAGAGAUGGCUCAGCGGUUAAGAGCACUGACUGCUCUUCCAGAGGUCCUGAAUUCAAUUGCCAGCAACCACAACCACAUGGUGGUUCACAACCAUCUGUAAUGGGAUCCAAUGCCCUCUUCUGGUGUGUCUGAAGACAGCUACAGUGUACUUACAUACAUAAAAUAAAUUGAGAUUUUUUUUUAUUGAUUGAGAAGGGCCAGAGUAAAACAGCGUCUUCAAGACAUAACAGGACAGGACUGCUGCACUCAUGAAGUCAUCAUAUCUGUGGCUGCCUGCACAAGACCUACACAACAAGAUCAAGCCAGUCACCAUUCCAGGAUGGAGGGACAAGAGACUGGAGCUCCCACCACAGCUAAGGAGUCACUGACAGUUG
rnacentral:lncRNA from 1 species